rnacentral:rRNA from 1 species
UACGUAGGGUGCAAGCGUUAAUCGGAAUUACUGGGCGUAAAGCGUGCGCAGGCGGUUCGCUAAGACAGAUGUGAAAUCCCCGGGCUUAACCUGGGAACUGCAUUGGUGACUGCAUCGCUCGAGUAUGGCAGAGGGGGGUAGAAUUCCACGUGUAGCAGUGAAAUGCGUAGAGAUGUGGAGGAAUACCGAUGGCGAAGGCAGCCCCCUGGGUCAAUACUGACGCUCAUGCACGAAAGCGUGGGGAGCAAACAGG